rnacentral:rRNA from 1 species
AUUGAACGCUGGCGGCAGGCCUAACACAUGCAAGUCGAGCGAGCGGCGGCCGGGUGAGUAAUGUAUGGGAAACUGCCUGAUGGAGGGGGAUAACAACUGGAGACGGUAGCUAAUACCGCAUACUAUAAGAUGAGCCCAAAUGGGGUGAGCUAGUAGGUGGGGUAACGGCUCACCUAGGAGACGUGCCCUAGCUGGUCUGAGAGGAUGAUCAGCCACACUGGGACUGAGACACGGCCCAGACUCCUACGGGAGGCAGCAGUGGGGAAUAUUGGACAAUGGGCGCAAGCCUGAUGCAGCCAUGCCGCGUGUGUGAAGAAGGCCUUCGGGUUGUAAAGUACUUUCAGCGGAGAGGCGUUACCCGCAGAAGAAGCACCGGCUAACUCCGUGCCAGCAGCCGCGGUAAUAC